GACGUAGGGCGCGAGCGUUGUCCGGAAUCAUUGGGCGUAAAGAGCGCGUAGGCGGCCCGGUAAGUCCGCUGUAAAAGUCCAGGGCUCAACCCUGGAAAGCCGGUGGAUACUGCCGGGCUAGAGUCCGGAAGAGGCGAGUGGAAUUCCUGGUGUAGCGGUGGAAUGCGCAGAUAUCAGGAGGAACACCAAUAGCGAAGGCAGCUCGCUGGGACGGUACUGACGCUGAGGUGCGAAAGCGUGGGGAGCAAACAGG
rnacentral:rRNA from 1 species